AACAACUCCAAAGUGGAAAGCCUGAAGUAACUGUGAAAUCUAUUUCUGGAGAAUUUCUGAAAAUAAGAUGCUUGCAUAGAAUUUCUAAAUACUGCUAAUGAAGCAGGCCUGUAGUUCACCGUGUUCCUCUUUUAUCGGCCAGUAUUACCAGAAAGCUCCAAGGAGAGAUGCAACACUUAAUGGGAAAGAUUAAGCUAAAAGAUAUAGUCACACUGCAACAAAAAAAAAAAAAAAAAAAAAAGAGAAAAUGAGCAAGCUCUACAAAGGGAAGUUCAGUAAUGUGAAACAGGCUGCUCAACAAAAAGAGGAAAAGGCAGAGAUCCAGCAGUGUCAAUGUAUGUACCUACAGUGAACUGAACUCUGAGUUGUAGCAGAAAGUGGUCUAAACAAAAAAGGAAACAAACAAAAAAGGACCUUGUUUAAAAAGUAGCUGCAUGGGCCAAAAAGAGAAGCAAACAACCAAGCAGUGUCAGAAGUUCCAAAUCCCCUGCCACGUUUUGCUGCUGCUUGCGCAGUUGAAGAGAAGGAAAAGCAAGGAAGAGAAAAUAGAAAACUCAACAGUCCUCUCACCUCUCCAAAACUCGGGUCACGAUUCUAGAGGAGAAAAUUUGUGAAUAAGAAAUGUCACUUAGACCUGAAUGGAAGAGAUUUGGCAAAAAAUAUAGGUGUAUUGGUGAGGAAUUCUUYGAUUUCAAGAGGUGUUGCAAUUUAAGACUUCUGCUGCAGUUAUUGAGAUUGUCAAGGAUAAGCUUUGGUUCCCAUUCAUUCUUUACAUAAAYUUUGUGUAUACACUUUCUUCUGCUGCUUUUACACAUUUCC
rnacentral:lncRNA from 1 species